rfam:Pseudomonas stutzeri A1501, complete genome.
GGAGCGAGCGGCAUGGAUGCCGCGAGAGGCGUAAAGGGCCAUGGAUGGCCCUUGUACGCCGGCCCC